ensembl:lncRNA
CCAAAAUGGGAAACGUCCUUUAAAAUAGUAAGAAGAGAAGACAGGCUGCCCUCCUGGGGGGCCCACGGCGGGGCCGCUGUCCUUAGCCCAACUUGACACCAAAUCCUGACCACUUUGAGGUCAGCCUCAACUCCUGGAUUGAGUUUUGUCUGACCCAGUGAUUAAGUGGCCCCCUCACACUCAUUUCAGUCCCUUACACUCAAGUAAAGGCAGACACAGCUGUCGGGUGAGGGCAGCAAGUGUUUAUUGAGAAAGGGGAACUCACACUGCGGGGCCCAGUGUGGCAGCCGGUCAGAGCAUCCGAGUGCCCGGGGACAGAUGCUGGAACCCUCUGUCUGCAGGGAGGCACCCGCCCAAGUCCAGGGUGAGUCCUGCGGCUUCUUGGGAGCUGGGGAGAUGAAGGACGGGCCUCCUGGGGUCGCUGGCAGCAGGAAGGGGUGAGCGCGACAGCACCGUGCUCCCCAUGCUUUGGUGAGUGUUGAAAUUGAAGAUGCGGACGCGUGACUCAGCACAGCCACCAAGACGGCAGAGCGCAAAGGUCCGGGAUUCUUUGGAGAGGAGCCAGAGGGUUCGGCUUGGAGAAGGUAUUUCUCAGCAGGCAAUGGCGACUGUAGGGACCAAAGGUAACGGGCCGCCGAGACGAGAGUGGCCUCUGGGCGUCUCUCCCAGGGCGCAGAGCAGGGAGGCCACUUCCCUUUCCGAGCCCGGGUCGGCGUGGCAGGUCCAUCUCGCAGGACGUUUACUGCGCUGGAGACAAAGCUCAGGGCUGGAACCAGUCCCCUCGUGGCGUCUCAUCCUAGUGAGCUGAGAGUCCAGGCCCCUGCAGACGAGCAUGGAGCCCGCAGGGAGGAGACGGCCUGCCUCUCUCCACUCGCACCCCAGGGCCCUCUCAGGCGCCCAGGGCUCCGGCCGUCCAGAAGGAGAGUGGCCUGGUGAGCUGGGUCAGCCUUGCCCCGAGCACAGGCUCAUCAGCUCCUGGGUUGGUGAACAGGGCUCCCUGUCACUGUGCUUGGCACAGGCCUGUGUGAGAUGAGAGUAUAAACACAGGGACAUCCAGGGCUUUGAACUAGAUGGUCUCCAGGAGGAGGUUUUUUUUUUUUUCCCAAUCCCUUUAUGGGCUGUAUAUUUAAGCUCUUACCACUGUCCCCCUUAAUGUUAAUUUUUCUGUCCAAUCAUCUUUAACUCUUUGGGGAAAAUUUUGAAAGUUCUCUCGCCUUUUUCAUCAUGAAAGCCUUGGUCACAUCGCAGAAUGUGAAAUAAGAAAAGGCGUUCUGGCCCUCCGGCAGCACGACACACCGGUGAACCUUCCAACCAGUGAAGGACAUUUUCAAAACAGAAUUUGUCAGUAGUCCCGUUGCUCUUGAGUUUUCCGUUUUGUCGACGUCGCGUCUCAGAUGUCCUCCACGUCCGUAUUCCUCGAACACCUGCUUCAGAGGCGAGUUUGCAGCCAGAUGGUGCAGUUUCAGGCUGCCUGUCUCAAGUAAUGCAAAUCCACGGUUUCCUAUGUUGCUGAAUCUUCCGAUUCCUUUGCUUUGGUCAUUUAGGUUGGUUGUAGUAUUCUUUUGCAGUAUUUUUAUUUAUACAAAUUUGUAAUAAAUAACAGCACUUACCACUUUUUUCUUCAUACUGUUCUCUGAGUAUAAAUGCCUUUGUGAAGGACAAAGGCUAUCAAAUUUUUUGUGGCUUGAUACAAUUGCUUGCAAUGAUCGCUAACUGGCAUCAUAGGAGAGCAUAGCUUCAACACAGUCUUUUAGAGAUACUCAUUGGUAAAAUGUCUUUCCACUUUAACAGGUAAUGAGGUAAAGUGGUAACUCACUUCAAUUUACAUUUCUUUGAAAACAGUAAGACUGAAAAUGUUUCCAGAUGUAAUUCCUCUCAUGUGAACUAAUUAUGUCCUUCACACAUUUAUCUAUUACAAUCUUUUGUGUCUAAUAAUUUAUAUCAACUAUUUAUUUAGAAUAAAUCAUUAUUCCAUUUGGUUCCAGUACCUCUCCAGACUUUUUCCCUUAGCUAUUUAAAAUUUUUGUUUUACUUUUUCAUAGUGGAAUUGGUUGCUCUAAGCAAUUUCAGAAUUUAGAAUGUUACUUUCUCUUUGAUGAUCUAGAAACAGGCACUUUAUUUUUUGAAUGUAUUUAUUGGGCUGCACUGGGUCUUAAGAUGCGGCUCGCGGGAUCUGGUUCCUGACCAGGGGUGGGGCCUGAGCCCCCUGCACUGCGGGUGCAGAGUCAGCCACUGGACCACCAGGGAGGCCCUUCAAUCUUCUUGUUAAAAGUUUGUAUCAUCUUUUUAAAUCCACAUAAAUGGUUUUUUUAAAAUUUAUAACUUUCCCAACACCAUUACAUUAAAGCUAUCUGUAGGAACCCUGCUGUGCCGCGAUGUUGCGUUCACUGUGCACACACCCACCAUGCUGUGUCCUCGUGUCUGCGUGUGUUCAGUGAACAAACAGGUGGGGUUGUUGGUGGGAGAGGCUGGCGUCCAUGUCCGCUUCAGAGCUUGACUGCCACGUGCAGCUGGGCUCCAGCUCCCGUCUCAGAGCAGGCAGGAGAGGGCCUGCGUGACGGGGGAGGACCCGUG